rnacentral:rRNA from 1 species
CAGCAGCCGCGGGAAUACGGAGGGCGCGAGCGUUACCCGGAUUUACUGGGCGUAAAGGGCGUGUAGGCGGCCUGGGGCGUCCCAUGUGAAAGGCCACGGCUCAACCGUGGAGGAGCGUGGGAUACGCUCAGGCUAGAGGGUGGGAGAGGGUGGUGGAAUUCCCGGAGUAGCGGUGAAAUGCGCAGAUACCGGGAGGAACGCCGAUGGCGAAGGCAGCCACCUGGUCCACUUCUGACGCUGAGGCGCGAAAGCGUGGGGAGCAAACCGGAUUAGAUACCCCCGUAGUCCCUGUCUCUUAUAA